UACGUAGGGGGCAAGCGUUGUCCGGAUUUACUGGGCGUAAAGAGCGCGCAGGCGGUCGAUCAAGUCGAGUGUGAAAGCCCCCGGCUCAACUGGGGAGGGUCAUUCGAUACUGAUCGACUCGAAGGCAGGAGAGGGUAGUGGAAUUCCCGGUGUAGUGGUGAAAUGCGUAGAUAUCGGGAGGAACACCAGUGGCGAAGGCGACUCCCUGGCCUGUUCUUGACGCUGAGGCGCGAAAGCUAGGGGAGCAAACGGG
rnacentral:rRNA from 1 species